rnacentral:misc_RNA from 1 species
GAUGAAGAACGCAGCGAAAUGCGAUAAGUAGUGUGAAUUGCAGAAUUCCGUGAAUCAUCGAAUCUUUGAACGCACAUUGCGCCUCCUGGUAAUCCGUGAGGCAUGCCUGUCCGAGCGUCAGUAAAAAGCAACUCGGCCGCGGCUGGCGGUUGGUGAUGGAGGAAGAGCACAUCUCGUUGUCGGUCUCCCCUCCCAAAAUCAACGGCGGAAGGUCACUGGCACUCGGUGUUGUAGUAUUAUUCGCCGAUCACCCAUUGUUGUUCCUGCCGCCCAAACCCCCACAACAUUCUCUUGAUUGACCUCGGAUCAGGUAGGGAUACCCGCUGAACUUAAGCAUAUCAAUAAGCGGAGGA